rnacentral:lncRNA from 1 species
GUAAACAGCAAUAAUGUUCAGCAAAGUAAGAUUUACAAAUAAGUCAACAUGACUGAAAUGGUCAGUUGACCCCUUUAGGAGUUAUUGCCCUUUAUAGUCAAUUUUUAACCAUUUUUCGUAAAUCUUAGUAAUAUUUUACAAAAAUCUCCUCUGAAACUACUUGGCCAAAUUAAUCCAAACUUGGCCACAAUCAUCUUUUGGAUUAGUAGUUUGAAAAAUGUGUCCGGUGACCCGGCCAUCAAACCAAGAUGGCGACCAUGACUAAAAAUAGAACAUGGGGUAAAAUGCAGUUUUUGGCUUAUAACUCAAAACCCAAAGCAUUUAGAGCAAAUCUGACAUGGGGUAAAAUUGUUUAUCAGUUCAAGAUCUAUCUGCCCUGAAAUUUUCAGAUGAAUCGGACAACCCGUUGUUGGGUUGCUGGACCUGAAUUAGUAAUUUUAAGGAAAUUUUGCUCUUUUUGGUUAUUAUCUUGAAUAUUAUUAUAGAUAGAGAUAAACUAUAAACAGCAAUAAUGUUCACCAAAGUAAGAUUUACAAAUAAGUCAACAUGACUGCAAUGGUCAGUUGACCCCUUUAGGAGUUAUUGCCCUUUAUAGUCAAUUUUUAACCAUUUUUCGUAAAUCUUAGUAAUCUUUUACAAAAAUCUUCUCCUCUGAAACUACUUGGCCAAAUUAAUCCAAACUUGGCCACAAUCAUCUUUUGGGUUAGUAGUUUGAAAAAUGUGUCCGGUGACCCGGCCAUCCAACCAAGAUGGCCGCCAUGGCUAAAAAUAGAACAUGGGGUAAAAUGCAGUUUUUGGCUUAUAACUCAAAACCCAAAGCAAUUUUUAGAUGAAUCGAACAACCCGUUGUUGGGUUGCUGACCCUGAAUUGUUAGUUUUAAGGAAAUUUUGCUGUUUUUGGUCAUUAUCUUGAAUAUUAUUAUUGAUAGAGAUAAACUGUAAACAACAAUAAUGUUCAGCAAAGUAAGAUUUACAAAUAAGUCAACUUGACCGAAAUGGUCAAUUGACCCCCUUAGGAGUUAUUGUUCUUUAUAGUCAAUUUUUUACAAUUUUCAUAAAAUUUGUAAAUUUUUACUAACAUUUUCCACUGAAACUAAUGGGCCAAGUUCAUUAUAGAUAGAGAUAAUUUUAAGCAGCAAGAAUGUUCAGUAAAGUAAGAUGUACAAACACAUCACCAUCACCAAAACACAAUUUUGUCAAGAAUCCAUCUGCUUCCUUUAAUAUUCACAUAGACCAAGGUGAGCGACACAGGCUCUUUAGAGCCUCUAGUUUU